rnacentral:rRNA from 1 species
CACGUAGGGUGCGAGCGUUGUCCGGAAUUAUUGGGCGUAAAGAGCUCGUAGGCGGUGUGUCGCGUCGGCCGUGAAAACCUGCAGCUUAACUGUGGGCUUGCGGUCGAUACGGGCAUCACUGGAGUUCGGCAGGGGAGACUGGAAUUCCUGGUGUAGCGGUGAAAUGCGCAGAUAUCAGGAGGAACACCGGUGGCGAAGGCGGGUCUCUGGGCCGAUACUGACGCUGAGGCACGAAGGCCAGGGGGGCAAACGGG